UACAGAGGUCUCGAGCGUUAGGCGGAAUCACUGGGCUUAAAGCGUGUGUAGGCGGAUUGGUAAGUACCUUGUGAAAUCCCACGGCUUAACCGUGGAACUGCUUGGUAUACUGCCUGUCUUGAGCCAGCUAGGGGCGACCGGAACAAAUGGUGGAGCGGUGAAAUGCGUAGAUAUCAGGAAGAACACCCGUGGCGAAAGCGGCUCUCUGGAACGGUACUGACGCUGAGACGCGAAAGCGUGGGGAGCGAACAGG
rnacentral:rRNA from 1 species